UACGGGGGGGGCAAGCGUUGUUCGGAUUUACUGGGCGUAAAGGGCGCGUAGGCGGUCAGCACAAGUCAGUUGUGAAAUCUCCGGGCUUAACCCGGAAAGGUCAACUGAUACUGUGCGACUAGAGUGCGGAAGGGGCAACUGGAAUUCUCGGUGUAGCGGUGAAAUGCGUAGAUAUCGAGAGGAACACCUGCGGCGAAGGCGGGUUGCUGGGCCGACACUGACGCUGAGGCGCGAAAGCCAGGGGAGCGAACGGG
rnacentral:rRNA from 1 species